rnacentral:rRNA from 1 species
AUUGAACGCUGGCGGCAGGCCUAACACAUGCAAGUCGAGCGGAUGAAGGGAGCUCGCUCCUGGAUUCAGCGGCGGACGGGUGAGUAAUGCCUAGGAAUCUGCCUGGUAGUGGGGGAUAACGUCCGGAAACGGGCGCUAAUACCGCAUACGUCCUGAGGGAGAAAGUGGGGGAUCUUCGGACCUCACGCUAUCAGAUGAGCCUAGGUCGGAUUAGCUAGUUGGUGGGGUAAAGGCCUACCAAGGCGACGAUCCGUAACUGGUCUGAGAGGAUGAUCAGUCACACUGGAACUGAGACACGGUCCAGACUCCCACGGGAGGCAGCAGUGGGGAAUAUUGGACAAUGGGCGAAAGCCUGAUCCAGCCAUGCCGCGUGUGUGAAGAAGGUCUUCGGAUUGUAAAGCACUUUAAGUUGGGAGGAAGGGCAGUAAGUUAAUACCUUGCUGUUUUGACGUUACCAACAGAAUAAGCACCGGCUAACUUCGUG